CCCAUACUUCACAAUCUAAAACACAAAACUCAAUACAAAACCCAUAACAAAAAUUAAAGGAGAAGAAAAAGAAAAAGAAGAAGAAAAGCUAGUGAUUCGUAUUAUUAUCAGACUGUGUAUAACAGUAUGUGUUUUUUAAUAUUCUUUGUUUCCAGCUCCAGUGUACCAAAAUAUUAUCACAAACUCCACAAUCCUUCUCUUUCCAAUCCCUAAACUAAAAGAUAAUAGAUUUAAACAAUAAAUCAAGUUAUUCGAGGUACUUGGAUCCUCCCUUCUUGAGAUCACAAUCUCAAGCCCUAAAACCCAAAUAUUGCUUCUCUUCUCCAUUCCCCUAUCCCUCUAUUUAUAACCAAAUAUAACCCACUCCCUAACUAUUUAUGCCCUCAAUACCCAAAUAACCCCUAAUACCGAUCCUAUUCGUCUCAAGGUGGUUUCAAAAUGUAGACCAUUUUGGAGGGGGCGGUGACUGCAUUUUUACCAUCUUUAUUUAAUUUCAUCUAUGUAGAAUGCCAUAACUCACAGGUUGAUGACGGUGAAUGGGAGCUGUAUCCACAAGUAACUGCUCUAUGCAUUGGAAAUGCUAAAUACUUUGACGGUGGUAUGAAAAUUGUGCCAAAUGCCGAUCCUUCCAACAGGAGUCUAG
rnacentral:lncRNA from 1 species